rnacentral:rRNA from 1 species
UUACGGUCAAAUCACGCUGAAAACACCGGUUCUCGUUCGAUCACCGAAGUUAAGCAUCGUAGAGCCAGGUCAGUACUUAGAUGGGGGGUUACCGCUUGGGAACACCUGGUACUGUAAG